UGGGAGGCGUUGCCUCCAGUGGCUCGAUGGCUUUUUGAACAAACAAAGAACUUGUUAAAAAGUGGAAAUAACGCGCGUGCUCUGGGUGCAGAGUCAUUGGAGCAAAGACGAUCACUUCAAAGACCCUGAGGCUAUGUUCAGCAUCCGCUCCAUGCACAUCAGCCACUGCCCUCAGGUGUUGCUGUUGGUGCUGGUGGCUGGGGGCCCCUGUCUGCACGCUGCCAGAGAAGUGUUGGUGUCUGAGAACUACGUGGGGACCUUCCCCUAUUACCUGACUCGGAUUGGCACAGGUGUUGCUGGUACGGUCAGGCUGGAUCUGGUCAGAGAUUAUGACGGGUUGUUUGGAAUCGAAGCCCCUGGGCUGCUGUUCGCAACGAUGUCUUUUGAUCGAGAAACUCAGGAUCUAUACGAGCUGAAGGUAAACGUGACGGAUGCGAUGGGGGAGGAGCUGGCGCCACUCAUUUCCAUCGACAUCCGCAUCCUCGAUCAAAACGACAAUGCCCCGCGCUUCCCCGGCCGAGUUACUCGGCCAGUGUCCACCAGGGAGCAAAGCCAGGUUUUAGCAUAGUCUCCGUCACGGCCACGGACCCUGAUGACCCCUCUCUGCCCAACGCUGACUUGCGUUACACCAUCUUCACACAGCACCCUGCACCGACCGCAGACCUCAUGUUCCAGAUCCACAGGAUGUCGGGAGUCGUGUCGGUCUCUGAGGAAGGAGCUGUCUCGCUGGAUCCCUCCCGAGUUGACGAGUACCAGUUGGCUGUUGAAGUGAAAGACAUGGGCGACCAGAAACUUGGCCACUUCACACGUGUUAACGUGACCAUCCGUGUAACUGAGAACAUCUGGCUUCCCCCACCUGCUGUCACCGUGUCAGAAAACCAUGCAGGCCCCUACCCCAUGGUCAUCUC